rnacentral:rRNA from 1 species
AGUGAACGCUGGCGGUAGGCCUAACACAUGCAAGUCGAACGGCAGCACAGUAAGAGCUUGCUCUUACGGGUGGCGAGUGGCGGACGGGUGAGGAAUACAUCGGAAUCUACUUUUUCGUGGGGGAUAACGUAGGGAAACUUACGCUAAUACCGCAUACGACCUACGGGUGAAAGCAGGGGAUCUUCGGACCUUGCGCGAUUGGAUGAGCCGAUGUCGGAUUAGCUAGUUGGCGGGGUAAAGGCCCACCAAGGCGACGAUCCGUAGCUGGUCUGAGAGGAUGAUCAGCCACACUGGAAAUGAGACACGGUCCAGAAUCCUACGGGAGGCAGCAGUGGGGAAUAUUGGACAAUGGGCGCAAGCCUGAUCCAGCCAUACCGCGUGGGUGAAGAAGGCCUUCGGGUUGUAAAGCCCUUUUGUUGGGAAAGAAAAGCAGCAGGUUAAUACCCCGCUGUUCUGACGGUACCCAAAGAAUAAGCACCGGCUAACUUCGU